AGCAGCCGCGGUAAUUCCAGCUCCAAUAGCGUAUAUUAAAGUUGUUGCAGUUAAAAAGCUCGUAGUUGAAUUUCGGGAUCAGUACGCUGGUCAUGCCUUCGGUAUGUACUGGUGUUACUGGUUCCUACCUUCUGACGAACCGUCAUGUCAUUAAUUUGGUGUGGCGGGGAAUCAGGACUGUUACUUUGAAAAAAAUUAGAGUGUUUAAAGCAGGCUCGCGCUUGAAUACAUUAGCAUGGAAUAAUGAAAUAGGACGUUCGAUCCUAUUUUGUUGGUUUCUAGGAUUGACGUAAUGAUUAAUAGGGAUAGUUGGGGGCAUUAGUAUUCAAUUGUCAGAGGUGAAAUUCUUGGAUUUAUUGAAGACUAACUACUGCGAAAGCAUUUGCCAAGGAUGUUUUCAUUAAUCAAGAACGAAAGUUAGGGGAUCGAAGACGAUCAGAUACCGUCGUAGUCUUAACCAUAAACUAUGCCGACUAGGGAUCGGAUGAUGUUAAUUUUUAAUGA
rnacentral:rRNA from 1 species